rnacentral:tRNA from 1 species
GGUGGCACAGUGGUUAAGCACUUGGCUGCCAACCAAAAGGUUGGUGGUUCAAACCCACCAGCCACUG